rnacentral:rRNA from 1 species
GACAGAGGCCUCAAGCGUUAGGCGGAAUCACUGGGCUUAAAGCGUGUGUAGGCGGAUCGUUAAGUGCCUUGUGAAAUCCCACGGCUUAACUGUGGAACGGCUGGGCAUACUGGCGGUCUUGAGCCAUCUAGGGGCGACUGGAACAAGCGGUGGAGCGGUGAAAUGCGUAGAUACCAGGAGGAACACCGGUGGCGAAGGCGGCUUCCUGGCCGAGUACUGACGCUGAUGCACGAAAGCGUGGGGAGCGAACGGG